UGCCCUAUCAACUUUCGAUGGUAGGAUAGUGGCCUACCAUGGUUUCAACGGGUAACGGGGAAUUAGGGUUCGAUUCCGGAGAGGGAGCCUGAGAAACGGCUACCACAUCCAAGGAAGGCAGCAGGCGCGCAAAUUACCCAAUCCCGACACGGGGAGGUAGUGACAAUAAAUACUGAUACAGGGCUCUUUUGGGUCUUGUAAUUGGAAUGAGUACAAUUAAAUCCCUAACGAGAUC
rnacentral:rRNA from 1 species